UACGGAGGGGCUAGCGUUGUUCGGAAUUACUGGGCGUAAAGCGUGCGCAGGCGGUGAUGUAAGACAGUUGUGAAAUCCCCGGGCUCAACCUGGGAACUGCAUCUGUGACUGCAUCGCUGGAGUGCGGCAGAGGGGGAUGGAAUUCCGCGUGUAGCAGUGAAAUGCGUAGAUAUGCGGAGGAACACCGAUGGCGAAGGCGGCAUCCUGGACCGGUAUUGACGCUGAGGCGCGAAAGCCAGGGGAGCAAACGGG
rnacentral:rRNA from 1 species